rnacentral:rRNA from 1 species
UAGCGAACGGGUGAGUAACACGUGGGUAAUCUGCCCUGCACUCUGGGAUAAGCCUGGGAAACUGGGUCUAAUACUGGAUAUGACCUUUCUCCUUAUGGGGUUUGGUGGAAAGUUUUUCGGUGUAGGAUGAGCCCGCGGCCUAUCAGCUUGUUGGUGGGGUGAUGGCCUACCAAGGCGACGACGGGUAGCCGGCCUGAGAGGGUGAUCGGCCACAUUGGGACUGAGAUACGGCCCAG